rnacentral:tRNA from 1 species
GCGGACGUAGCUCAGUGUCUAGAGCGUUACCUUUCCCGGGUAAAGGUCAUGAGUUUAAUUCUCAUCGUCCGCUCCA